rnacentral:misc_RNA from 1 species
GAUAAAGCCUUAACUUUAUUUUUAUCUGAACUAAUAAAAAUCAAGAUAAUGGAAUGAGGAGAACUUGAUUUGGCGUACAUGGUUUGGCUGCUUAUAGUUUAAUCUGGAUGAUCUAAGUUGCUGUAGAAAAUUCAUUAUACCUGCCCUCAUAAGCCUGUUUGGGAAACAAAUGAGAGAAAAUUUCCAUUUCUAGGUAGCUCGAGAAUCAUGCUUGCACAUUAUUCAACACUGGUCGGUGUUGUGGAAGUUUACUUUUCUUUUCCCACUUGACUUUUCCUUUCUUUCACUUUCCUUUUAUCAGUACUCGAGAGGAAUCUAGUGACGAUUGUUUUGGGGAACUCUGG